rnacentral:rRNA from 1 species
AAUGGCUGCAGUAAUAUAACUGUACAAAGGUAGCAUAAUCAUUAGUUUUUUAAUUAAAAGCUUGUAUGAAAGGUUGGACGAAGUAAAAUCUGUCUCUUUUUAAUAUAAUUAGAAUUUAAUUUUUAAGUAAAAAAGCUUAAAUUUAUAUAAAAGACGAGAAGACCCUAUAGAGUUUAAUAAUUUAUUUUAAAUAUUUAAUUUAGAUUUAUUUAUUUUAUUUAUUAUAUAAUUAUUUUAUUGGGGUAAUAGAAAGAUUAAUAUAAUUCUUUUUUUUAUUUUACAUUAAUAUAUGAAUUAAAUGAUCCAUUUUUAUGAUUAAAAGAUUAAAUUACCUUAGGGAUAACAGCGUAAUUUUUUUAAAGAGUUCAUAUCGAUAAAAAAGUUUGCGACCUCGAUGUUGGAUUAAAGAUUAAUUUAGGUGUAGAAGUUUAAAUUUUUGGUCUGUUCGACCAUUAAAUCUUUACAUGAUCUGAGUUCAAACCGGUGUAAGCCAGGUUGGUUUCUAUCUUUAUAAAAUUUUUAUAUUUUAGUACGAAAGGACCAAAUAUUUAAUAUAUAAAUAUUUAAUUGUUUUGAAUAU